rnacentral:lncRNA from 1 species
UGUACAUCUGUUCGGAGCUUCUUCUUCCCCAAGUUGUUCUAAUUAUGCACUCAGGAAAUGUGCAGAGGAUCAUGGAGAUUUGUUUAAUCGUAGGACAGUAGAAGUCGUCCAGAAUCACUUUUAUGUGGAUGAUUGUCUCACUUCUGUGCCCAUAGAAUCCGAUGCUAUUCAACUAUAUAAAGAUCUGAAAGCAAUGUGUGCUAAAGGUGGGUUCUGCUUGACCAAAUGGAUGAGCAACAGUCGUGUGGUGUUGAAUGCUAUACCGGAAAAAGACCGGGUGAAAGAAAUAAAGGAUCUUGACUUGAACCAUGACAUGCUUCCGAUGGAAAGAGUACUGGGUGUACAGUGGUGUGCCGAAUCUGACACCUUCAAAUUCAAGGUAGUAAUCAAGGAGAGACCUUUCUCAAGAAGAGGGAUACUUUCGGUGAUUAGUGCCAUAUAUGAUCCCCUUGGAUUCUUGGCUCCAGUAGUUCUUUCUGCAAAAAAGAUUCUUCAAGAUCUCUGCAGAGAAGGGAUUGGAUGGGACAGUGCUAUACCCAUCAAAUAUGUACAGAGAUGGACAAGUUGGCUCGAAGAUCUUCAUGGCUUGGAGAAAUUUGAGACAAAAAGAUGUUUGAAACCCGAAGAGUUUGGAGAAGUCACGUCGGCUCAGUUACAUCAUUUCUCUGAUGCCAGUGAAGAAGGCUAUGGUGUUGUGUCCUAUCUGCUUCUACGUAAUAGUCAGAGCAUUGUACAUUCUGCUUUCUUGAUGGGUAAGGCUCGAGUAGCACCAGUGAAAUCUACCACCAUUCCUCGCAUGGAACUUACUGCCGCCACUCUUGCCAGCCGAAUGGACAGCCUAUGGAAAAGGGAUCUAAGGAUGAAGCUACAAGAUUCAGUGUUUUGGUCGGAUAGCACUGCUGUGUUAAAAUAUAUCCAAAAUGAGUCCUCCAGAUUUAAGUGUUUUGUUGCCAACAGAGUGUUUGAGAUCUUGAGAGCAUCCAGCGCAACUCAGUGGAGAUAUAUAGAUUCUGCCAACAAUCCUGCUGACUUUGCCUCAAGGGGGCUAAAGGUAGAUCUUUUACUUAAGGAGCAGAUGUGGAAGUUUGGCCCUCCCUUCCUUAUUAGAUCACAGGAAGAGUGGCCAAAUAACCCAAUUGAUUUGGAAAAGAGUUUGGUACAAGACCCAGAAAUCAAGCAAGAAGUUGUGGUUAACACACUACUGGUUCAAACUGAGGAGAGAGAUGAUGCUGUAGCACGGCUUAUCAAUCAUUAUUCAUCAUGGACACGUCUGAGGAAGGCUGUGGCCUGGAUCCUAAGGCUGAAGAGAAUUCUUCUAGAUCUAAGUAAAAGGAGAAAACAAUUGAAGAGAACUCUCGAUUGUACUGAAUCUAAUCAACCACUGAAGGUUAUCAUUGACGAAAACAUGUGUAAACUACAAUCCAGUAUGGGUAAAGGCUAUCUUUCAGUGGAUGAGCUGGACGAAAGUGAAAUGGAGAUUGUGCGCUUUUCCCAAAGGAUGAAGU